GUCGAACGAUGAUGCCCAGCUUGCUGGGUUGAUUAGUGGCGAACGGGUGAGUAACACGUGAGUAACCUGCCCCCGACUUCGGGAUAACCACGAGAAAUCGUGGCUAAUACCGGAUAUGACACGUGCCUGCAUGGGUGUGUGUGGAAAGAUUUAUCGGUUGGGGAUGGGCUCGCGGCCUAUCAGCUUGUUGGUGGGGUAGUGGCCCACCAAGGCGACGACGGGUAGCCGGCCUGAGAGGGUGACCGGCCACACUGGGACUGAGACACGACCCAGACUACUACGGGAGGCAGCAGUGGGGAAUAUUGCACAAUGGGCGAAAGCCUGAUGCAGCGACGCCGCGUGAGGGAUGACGGCCUUCGGGUUGUAAACCUCUUUCAGUAGGGAAGAAGCCUUCGGGUGACGGUACCUGCGGAAGAAACGCCGGCUAACUACGUGCCAGCAGCCGCGGUAAUACGUAGGGCGCACGCGUUGUCUGGAAUUAUUGGGCGUAUAGAGCUCGUAGGUGGUUUGUCGCGUCUGCGGUGAAAACACAAGGCUUAUCCUUGCGCCUGCGGUGG
rnacentral:rRNA from 1 species